GCUGGGCGUGGUGGCGGGCGCCUGUAAUCCCAGCUACUCAGGAGGCUGAGGCAGGAGAAUUGCUUGAACCCAGGAGGCAGAGGUUGCAGUGAGCCAAGAUCUUGCCACUGCACUCCAGCCUGGGUGACAGAGCGAGACUCUGUCUCGA
ensembl:misc_RNA Metazoa_SRP Metazoan signal recognition particle RNA